UACGUAGGGGGCAAGCGUUGUCCGGAUUUAUUGGGCGUAAAGAGCGUGUAGGCGGUCAGGUAGGUCCGUUGUGAAAACUCGAGGCUCAACCUCGAGACGCCGAUGGAAACCAUCUAACUAGAGUCCGGAAGAGGAGAAUGGAAUUCCUGGUGUAGCGGUGAAAUGCGCAGAUAUCAGGAAGAACACCCGUGGCUAAGGCGGUUCUCUAGUACGGUACUGACGCUGAGACGCGAAAGCGUGGGGAGCGAACAGG
rnacentral:rRNA from 1 species